rnacentral:lncRNA from 1 species
AUGCCCCAAAGAGGAUCUUCUUCCUCUUUUUCUCACACAUGAACACCCACCCCUCUCCCUCAAAUUUCUUAUGCCCUCUCUAAGGUUUUCUCACACCAAAGCUAAAGUGGUUUGGCACACAAAAAAUUAUCCUCUUUAAAGGUGGCAUCCCAUGUAGAGAUUGGAUAAUUUGGUUCAGGUUUAAACAAGGUAUGAUCUUAUCAUGAAUUCAAAUCAAAUUUGAAUUCUUUUUCAAAUCAGAUUUAAUCCACAACUAAAGAAUCCAGAAAGGAGGGUGACACAACUU